GCUUGUCUCAAAGAUUAAGCCAUGCAUGUCUAAGUAUAAGCACCCUUAUACAGCGAAACUGCGUACAGCUCAUUAUAUCAGCAAUUAUUUAUUUGAAGGUCACCUAUUACAUGGAUAACCGUGGUAAUUCUAGAGCUAAUACAUGCGAAAAAACGGCUUCACGGUCGUUGUAUUUAUUAGAUAAAAAACUAAUACAGGUUCUACCUGUUCUUUUGGUGAUUCAUAAUAACUUUCGGAUCGUUUACGAUGCAUCAUUCAAGUUUCUGCCCUAUCAGCUUUGGAUGGUAGGGUAUUGGCCUACCAUGGCUUUAACGGGUAACGGAGAAUUAGGGUUCGAUUCCGGAGAGGGAGCCUGAGAAAUGGCUACCACAUCCAAGGAAGGCAGCAGG
rnacentral:rRNA from 1 species